rnacentral:rRNA from 1 species
GACGAACGCUGGCGGCGUGCUUAACACAUGCAAGUCGAACGGAAAGGCCCUGCUUUUGUGGGGUGCUCGAGUGGCGAACGGGUGAGUAACACGUGAGUAACCUGCCCUUGACUUUGGGAUAACUUCAGGAAACUGGGGCUAAUACCGGAUAGGAGCUCCUGCUGCAUGGUGGGGGUUGGAAAGUUUCGGCGGUUGGGGAUGGACUCGCGGCUUAUCAGCUUGUUGGUGGGGUAGUGGCUUACCAAGGCUUUGACGGGUAGCCGGCCUGAGAGGGUGACCGGCCACAUUGGGACUGAGAUACGGCCCAGACUCCUACGGGAGGCAGCAGUGGGGAAUAUUGCUCAAUGGGCGGAAGCCUGAUGCAGCAACGCCGCGUGCGGGAUGACGGCCUUCGGGUUGUAAACCGCUUUCGCCUGUGACGAGGCGUGAGUGACGGUAAUGGGUAAAGAAGCACCGGCUAACUACGUG